CCCAGACUCCUACGGGAGGCAGCAGUCGGGAAUAUUGCGCAAUGGAGGAAACUCUGACGCAGUGACGCCGCGUAUAGGACGAAGGUCUUCGGAUUGUAAACUAUUGUCGCUAGGGAAGAGAAAGGACAGUACCUAAGGAGGAAGCUCCGGCUAACUACGUGCCAGCAGCCGCGGUAAUACGUAGGGGGCAAGCGUUAUCCGGAUUUACUGGGUGUAAAGGGGGCGCAGACGGCGAUGCAAGCCAGGAGUGAAAGCCCGGGGCCCAACCCCGGGACUGCUCUUGGAACUGCGUGGCUAGAGUGCAGGAGGGGCAGGCGGAAUUCCUGGUGUAGCGGUGAAAUGCGUAGAUAUCAGGAGGAACACCGGCGGCGAAGGCGGCCUGCUGGACCGUGACUGACGUUGAGGCUCGAGAGCGUGGGGAGCAAACAGGAUUAGAUACCCGUGUA
rnacentral:rRNA from 1 species